rnacentral:rRNA from 1 species
UACGUAGGUGGCAAGCGUUGUCCGGAAUUAUUGGGCGUAAAGCGCGCGCAGGCGGUCCUUUAAGUCUGAUGUGAAAGCCCACGGCUCAACCGUGGAGGGUCAUUGGAAACUGGGGGGACUUGAGUGCAGAAGAGGAGAGUGGAAUUCCACGUGUAGCGGUGAAAUGCGUAGAGAUGUGGAGGAACACCAGUGGCGAAGGCGACUCUCUGGUCUGUAACUGACGCUGAGGAGCGAAAGCGUGGGGAGCAAACAGG